AAAUUGAAGAGUUUGAUCAUGGCUCAGAUUGAACGCUGGCGGCAGGCCUAACACAUGCAAGUCGAACGGUAACAGGAAGCAGCUUGCUGCUUUGCUGACGAGUGGCGGACGGGUGAGUAAUGUCUGGGAAACUGCCUGAUGGAGGGGGAUAACUACUGGAAACGGUGGCUAAUACCGCAUAACGUCGCAAGACCAAAGAGGGGGACCUUCGGGCCUCUUGCCAUCAGAUGUGCCCAGAUGGGAUUAGCUUGUUGGUGAGGUAACGGCUCACCAAGGCGACGAUCCCUAGCUGGUCUGAGAGGAUGACCAGCCACACUGGAACUGAGACACGGUCCAGACUCCUACGGGAGGCAGCAGUGGGGAAUAUUGCACAAUGGGCGCAAGCCUGAUGCAGCCAUGCCGCGUGUAUGAAGAAGGCCUUCGGGUUGUAAAGUACUUUCAGCGGGGAGGAAGGUGUUGUGGUUAAUAACCGCAGCAAUUGACGUUACCCGCAGAAGAAGCACCGGCUAACUCCGUGCCAGCAGCCGCGGUAAUACGGAGGGUGCAAGCGUUAAUCGGAAUUACUGGGCGUAAAGCGCACGCAGGCGGUCUGUCAAGUCGGAUGUGAAAUCCCCGGGCUCAACCUGGGAACUGCAUUCGAAACUGGCAGGCUUGAGUCUUGUAGAGGGGGGUAGAAUUCCAGGUGUAGCGGUGAAAUGCGUAGAGAUCUGGAGGAAUACCGGUGGCGAAGGCGGCCCCUGGACAAAGACUGACGCUCAGGUGCGAAAGCGUGGGGAGCAAACAGGAUUAGAUACCCUGGUAGUCCACGCCGUAAACGAUGUCUACUUGGAGGUUGUGCCCUUGAGGCGUGGCUUCCGGAGCUAACGCGUUAAGUAGACCGCCUGGGGAGUACGGCCGCAAGGUUAAAACUCAAAUGAAUUGACGGGGGCCCGCACAAGCGGUGGAGCAUGUGGUUUAAUUCGAUGCAACGCGAAGAACCUUACCUGGUCUUGACAUCCACAGAACUUUCCAGAGAUGGAUUGGUGCCUUCGGGAACUGUGAGACAGGUGCUGCAUGGCUGUCGUCAGCUCGUGUUGUGAAAUGUUGGGUUAAGUCCCGCAACGAGCGCAACCCUUAUCCUUUGUUGCCAGCGGUCCGGCCGGGAACUCAAAGGAGACUGCCAGUGAUAAACUGGAGGAAGGUGGGGAUGACGUCAAGUCAUCAUGGCCCUUACGACCAGGGCUACACACGUGCUACAAUGGCGCAUACAAAGAGAAGCGACCUCGCGAGAGCAAGCGGACCUCAUAAAGUGCGUCGUAGUCCGGAUUGGAGUCUGCAACUCGACUCCAUGAAGUCGGAAUCGCUAGUAAUCGUGGAUCAGAAUGCCACGGUGAAUACGUUCCCGGGCCUUGUACACACCGCCCGUCACACCAUGGGAGUGGGUUGCAAAAGAAGUAGGUAGCUUAACCUUCGGGAGGGCGCUUACCACUUUGUGAUUCAUGACUGGGGUGAAGUCGUAACAAGGUAACCGUAGGGGAACCUGCGGUUGGAUCACCUCCUUA
rnacentral:rRNA from 1 species